AUUGAACGCUGGCGGAAUGCUUUACACAUGCAAGUCGAACGGCAGCACGGGUGCUUGCACCUGGUGGCGAGUGGCGAACGGGUGAGUAAUACAUCGGGAACGUACCUUAUCGUGGGGGAUAACGCAGCGAAAGGUGUGCUAAUACCGCAUACGCCCUGAGGGGGAAAGCGGGGGAUCGAAAGACCUCGCGUUAUUCGAGCGGCCGAUGCCGGAUUAGCUAGUUGGUGGGGUAAAGGCUCACCAAGGCGACGAUCCGUAGCAGGUCUGAGAGGAUGAUCUGCCACACUGGGACUGAGACACGGCCCAGACUCCUACGGGAGGCAGCAGUGGGGAAUUUUGGACAAUGGGCGCAAGCCUGAUCCAGCAAUGCCGCGUGCAGGAAGAAGGGCCUUCGGGUUGUAAACUGCUUUGUACGGAACGAAAAGGACUCUGGUUAAUACCU
rnacentral:rRNA from 1 species